rnacentral:rRNA from 1 species
UGCAAGCCGCAGCGGUAAUACGGAGGGUCCAAGCGUUAUCCGGAUGUAUUGGGUUUAAAGGGUGCGCAGGCGGAACUUUCAGUCAGUGGUGAAAUCUUGCCGCUUAACGGUAAAAUUGCCAUUGAAACUGAAGUUCUUGAAUGUAGUUGAGGUAGGCGGAAUGUGUUGUGUAGCGGUGAAAUGCAUAGAUAUGACACAGAACGCCAAUUGCGAAGGCAGCUUACUAAGCUACGAUUGAAGCUGAGGCACGCACGCGUUGGGCGCGAACAGGAUUAGAUC